GAUCAUGGCUCAGGAUGAACGCUAGCUACAGGCUUAACACAUGCAAGUCGAGGGGCAUCAGUUUGGUUUGCUUGCAAACCAAAGCUGGCGACCGGCGCACGGGUGAGUAACACGUAUCCAACCUGCCUCAUACUCGGGGAUAGCCUUUACGAAAGAAAGAUUAAUAUCCGAUAGCAUAUACUUCCGCUAUUGGGUUUAUAAUUAAAGAAUUCGGUAUGAGAGUGGGAUCGUCGUUCUAGUUAGGUUUACGGGG
rnacentral:rRNA from 1 species